UACGGAGGAUUCAAGCGUUAUCCGGAUUUAUUGGGUUUAAAGGGUGCGUAGGCGGCAUUAUAAGUUAGUGGUAAAAUAUUGGGGCUUCACCUCACUACGCCAUUAAUACUGUAGAGCUAGAGAACAGACGAGGUAGGCGGAAUAAGUUAAGUAGCGGUGAAAUGCAUAGAUAUCACGCAGAACGCCGAUUGCGAAGGCAGCUUACCGGCGCUCAACUGACGCUGAGGCACGAAAGUGCGGGUAUCGAACAGG
rnacentral:rRNA from 1 species